rnacentral:rRNA from 1 species
UCUGUCACUCCUACGGGAGGCAGCAGUGGGGGAAUAUUGCACAAGUGGGCGCAAGCCUGAUGCAGCCAUGCCGCGUGUAUGAAGAAGGCCUUCGGGUUGUAAAGUACUUUCAGCAGUGAGGAAGGUGGGGUAUGUUAAUAGCAUACUCAUUUGACGUUAGCUGCAGAAGAAGCACCGGCUAACUCCGUGCCAGCAGCCGCGGUAAUACGGAGGGCGCGAGCGUUAAUCGGAAUUACUGGGCGUAAAGCGCAUGCAGGUGGUUUGUUAAGUCAGAUGUGAAAGCCCCGGGCUCAACCUCGGAAUUGCAUUUGAAACUGGCAAACUAGAGUACUGUAGAGGGGGUAGAAUUUCAGGUGUAACGGUGAAAUGCGUAGAGAUCUGAAGGAAUACCGGUGGCGAAGGCGGCCCCCUGGACAGAUACUGACACUCAGAUGCGAAAGCGUGGGGAGCAAACAGGAUUAGAUACCCUGGUAG